rnacentral:rRNA from 1 species
UGUGAACUCGAAGAGUAGGGCGGGACACGUGGUAUCCUGUCUGAAUAUGGGGGGACCAUCCUCCAAGGCUAAAUACUCCUGACUGACCGAUAGUGAACCAGUACCGUGAGGGAAAGGCGAAAAGAACCCCGGCGAGGGGAGUGAAAAAGAACCUGAAACCGUGUACGUACAAGCAGUGGGAGCACCUUUAUGGUGUGACUGCGUACCUUUUGUAUAAUGGGUCAGCGACUUAUAUUCUGUAGCAAGGUUAACCGUAUAGGGGAGCCGCAGGGAAACCGAGUCUUAACUGGGCGUUAAGUUGCAGGGUAUAGACCCGAAACCCGGUGAUCUAGCCAUGGGCAGGUU